rnacentral:rRNA from 1 species
UGAACGCUGGCGGCAGGCCUAACACAUGCAAGUCGAACGGUAACAGGAAGCAGCUUGCUGCUUUGCUGACGAGUGGCGGACGGGUGAGUAAUGUCUGGGAAACUGCCUGAUGGAGGGGGAUAACUACUGGAAACGGUAGCUAAUACCGCAUAACGUCGCAAGACCAAAGAGGGGGACCUUAGGGCCUCUUGCCAUCGGAUGUGCCCAGAUGGGAUUAGCUAGUAGGUGGGGUAACGGCUCACCUAGGCGACGAUCCCUAGCUGGUCUGAGAGGAUGACCAGCCACACUGGAACUGAGACACGGUCCAGACUCCUACGGGAGGCAGCAGUGGGGAAUAUUGCACAAUGGGCGCAAGCCUGAUGCAGCCAUGCCGCGUGUAUGAAGAAGGCCUUCGGGUUGUAAAGUACUUUCAGCGGGGAGGAAGGGAGUAAAGUUAAUACCUUUGCUCAUUGACGUUACCCGCAGAAGAAGCACCGGCUAACUCCGUG